rnacentral:lncRNA from 1 species
UUUGGGGGUUUUUGAUGUAUAUAUUGUCGUCUUUGUUGGAUAUCAAGGUGGGUGCAGUUUCACUAGAGGAAAAGGUGAAGGAGGAAGAUGGGCUGUCAGGUUCGGGUUGCCCGGCGGUGGCAAAGCUGUUGAGGUAGCGGCUUUGGGAGUUGAGGACUCGGAGAAUGGUGGGGUUUAGGGUUUUCAAGACUCUUGUCACAGCCGUAGAUGCCAUUUUCACUAUUGGGGGUAUGGCUAGGUGCAGGGACAAAUCUAGGAAUUUUCGGCACAAGGGCUAAAAUUCAUUUGGGAGGUUGAAUUCCAUCUGCAAAUUCCUAAAAUUAGAGGGGAAAAAAGGGGGCCAUCAGUUAUACAUUAAUUCGCAAUUCGCUUAAAACAACUUUUCUACCACUUUUUAGUAAUACAGCUUUUCUAUUGCUUUUUCAAUUAACUUUGCAAUUUUCUUGAUUUGCAUCCAAUUAAUUAAUAAUACUGCUUAAUCCCAAUGGGUGUAUGCAUUUAGUUUGCACUUUCUUCUUCAGGACUUCACAAUUAAGUUCUUCGCAAUGAAAAAAGAAAAAUUGUGCGGCUAAUUCUAUUAUUAAUUCUUUUGCUUUUCUACUACUCUUCUGUUCUAAUCCGUAACCAUUUUUUCCUUUUUAUGAAAUUUUAUUAAGAAGUUGAAAUUUAUUGGUAGCUAUAAAUAU